ACCGAGCAACGCCGCGUGAGUGAAGAAGGUUUUCGGAUCGUAAAGCUCUGUUGUAAGAGAAGAACGUGUGUGAGAGUGGAAAGUUCACACAGUGACGGUAUCUUACCAGAAAGGGACGGCUAACUACGUGCCAGCAGCCGCGGUAAUACGUAGGUCCCGAGCGUUGUCCGGAUUUAUUGGGCGUAAAGCGAGCGCAGGCGGUUUGAUAAGUCUGAAGUUAAAGGCUGUGGCUCAACCAUAGUACGCUUUGGAAACUGUCAAACUUGAGUGCAGAAGGGGAGAGUGGAAUUCCAUGUGUAGCGGUGAAAUGCGUAGAUAUAUGGAGGAACACCGGUGGCGAAAGCGGCUCUCUGGUCUGUAACUGACGCUGAGGCUCGAAAGCGUGGGUAGCGAACAGGAUUAGAAACCCUAGUAGUCCA
rnacentral:rRNA from 1 species